GAGUUUGAUCCUGGCUCAGGAUGAACGCUGGCGGUCUGCUUAACACAUGCAAGUCGAACGGGACUCUUCGGAGUUUAGUGGCGGACGGGUGAGUAACGCGUGAGAAUCUGCCCUUAGGUUGGGGACAACAGUUGGAAACGACUGCUAAUACCCAAUGUGCCGAGAGGUGAAAGGUUAACUGCCUGGGGAUGAGCUCGCGUCUGAUUAGCUAGUUGGAGUGGUAACGGCACACCAAGGCGACGAUCAGUAGCUGGUCUGAGAGGAUGAUCAGCCACACUGGGACUGAGACACGGCCCAGACUCCUACGGGAGGCAGCAGUGGGGAAUUUUCCGCAAUGGGCGAAAGCCUGACGGAGCAAGACCGCGUGAGGGAGGAAGGCCUAUUGGUUGUAAACCUCUUUUGAUAGGGAAGAACACAAUGACGGUACCUAUCGAAUCAGCAUCGGCUAACUCCGUGCCAGCAGCCGCGGUAAUACGGAGGAUGCAAGCGUUAUCCGGAUUUAUUGGGCGUAAAGCGUCCGUAGGUGGCAAACCAAGUCAGUUGUUAAAGCGUAGAGCUUAACUCUAUAAGGGCAAUUGAAACUGGUUAGCUAGAGUGCGAUAGGGGCAAGGGGAAUUCCCAGUGUAGCGGUGAAAUGCGUAGAUAUUGGGAAGAACAUCGGUGGCGAAGGCGCCUUGCUGGGUCUGCACUGACACUGAGGGACGAAAGCUAGGGGAGCGAAAGGGAUUAGAUACCCCUGUAGUC
rnacentral:rRNA from 1 species